AGAGUUUGAUCAUGGCUCAGAACACGCUGGCGGCAUGCCUAACACAUGCAAGUCGAACGAGACCUUCGGGUCUAGUGGCGCACGGGUGCGUAACGCGUGGGAAUCUGCCCUUCGGUUCGGAACAACAGUUAGAAAUGACUGCUAAUACCGGAUAAUGACGUAAGUCCAAAGAUUUAUCGCCGAAGGAUGAGCCCGCGUAAGAUUAGGUAGUUGGUGGGGUAAUGGCCUACCAAGCCGACGAUCUUUAGCUGGUCUGAGAGGAUGAUCAGCCACACUGGGACUGAGACACGGCCCAGACUCCUACGGGAGGCAGCAGUGGGGAAUAUUGGACAAUGGGCGAAAGCCUGAUCCAGCAAUGCCGCGUGAGUGAUGAAGGCCUUAGGGUUGUAAAGCUCUUUUACCAGGGAUGAUAAUGACAGUACCUGGAGAAUAAGCUCCGGCUAACUCCGUG
rnacentral:rRNA from 1 species